ensembl:lncRNA LINC00662 long intergenic non-protein coding RNA 662
AGUCCGGCCGCCCUGUGACUAACGGCUGGAACCGCCUAAGACACCACCCCAGCCAGCAUGGCCGGCAGGAGCGCACCGCGCUGUCUCCCUCCAGGGAUCCGCACCGCCCUACAAUCCUGCUUUGUGCUGAGAUUGUAGUCCUGCAGGCGUACAACUAACAAGCUGGGUGCAGAUAAGAGACUACAGCUCCCCGCAUCCCAAGCAAAGGUCCCUCCUCUACGGAGCCCCUCCACGCGUCCACUGCGGUUCCGCCGUGCCAAGGGGAGCUUGGCUGUUCACGGGCCUCACCUGCUAGCGAGAAGAUAGCUUGGCCGGGCGGCUGAUCUCACCUUGUAAUUCUGACACUGUGUCUCCCGGGCUUGUCGGCUUCAUGACUUGUGCCCAAAGUUUGAUUUCUCGCAGACCAGGUAAAAGCCAAGAGGCUCUCAUAGGCGCCUUGGCAGAGUUGCCAUUGGAACGGGCGUCCUCUAGUAGCUGGGAUCUCCCCGCCCCUUCCUCCUGAGGGGCCACUCCUUUCUGCCCCACCCUUCUUAUUGCCCCACCCUUUGCCACACUCCUUCAGAGAUGCGCAGUGCUGCCCCUUUCUAUGGGCAGGGCCGAAGGUCCGCGUGUAAAAGUACCCAGUCCCUGGUAACCUGACACUUCCCUUUUAAAAGCCACCUUUUGUCUAUCUCUGGCCUGCCACGAUUCUUCCUGUGCUCCAUAGGAGGACCCAUUGGACCCCCGGGCUGGCUGCAGGGCCCACACCUGGGUUAGACCUCGCACAGGGACGCUGCUGCCACUGUAAUAAAGCGUGCCUACACGCUUCUGAAACUGGUGUAGGAACAACCUCAGUUCUGUGAAAGGCGGACGCAGCAGGACAGAAUCUCCGUGGACAUCUGUCUGGAGGAGCAAUUUUACUGCGACAUUUUAAAGAAACAAAUUUAAUUGAUUUCCAAGGCUUGAGUGUGAUUAAAAAAAAAAAAUUAAAAGGUAAACUUCACCGUGCAGGAAGAAGCAUAGGAAAAGAGAGAGAGAAAAGAACAAAGAAAAAAAAGAAUAGCAAGUCUCUCCAAGUACUAUGGAAACAAACAGAAAGUGGAAUUAGGAAAAAAGAGAGGAAGAAGGUCUGAGUAGUCCAAGGGACACGGGAGGCCAGUUGGGAAGACCGCCCGGGCGAGACCAGGAAGAUCAAGGCCACAGUGAAUCACGAUCCCAUCCCUCUGCUCAACCUGAAUUGUACUGCUGCUGGCGAGAGAGAUCUGGUCGACCUUAGACAUGGCAAGGCGAGAGGUGAGGUCCAUCAGGUCGACCUUAGUCCAACGCUCACAGCCGACAUCUCUCUCAAAAUAAAUAAACAAAUCCAACAGUAAAUAUUUAACAAUGACAAAAAAAUUAAAGAACAAUACAUAAACAGGUUGCAGUUAACAAAAGUAAAAAGUAAUUAAUAUCACAAUUAAGAUCUUCUCCCCUGUCUCUCUGUUUGUCACACCCAGGCUGGAGUGUGUGACAAAAUAAAAAAUCUAAAAGAUCAA